rnacentral:rRNA from 1 species
AUUGAACGCUGGCGGCAUGCCUUACACAUGCAAGUCGAACGGCAGCGCGGGAGCAAUCCUGGCGGCGAGUGGCGAACGGGUGAGUAAUACAUCGGAACGUGCCCAAUCGUGGGGGAUAAUGCAGCGAAAGCUGUGCUAAUACCGCAUACGAUCUACGGAUGAAAGCAGGGGAUCGCAAGACCUUGCGCGAAUGGAGCGGCCGAUGGCAGAUUAGGUAGUUGGUGAGGUAAAGGCUCACCAAGCCUUCGAUCUGUAGCUGGUCUGAGAGGACGACCAGCCACACUGGGACUGAGACACGGCCCAGACUCCUACGGGAGGCAGCAGUGGGGAAUUUUGGACAAUGGGCGAAAGCCUGAUCCAGCCAUGCCGCGUGCAGGAUGAAGGCCUUCGGGUUGUAAACUGCUUUUGUACGGAACGAAACGGUCUUUUCUAAUAAAGAAGGCUAAUGACGGUACCGUAAGAAUAAGCACCGGCUAACUACGUG